rnacentral:misc_RNA from 1 species
GAUGAAGAACGUAGCGAAAUGCGAUAAGUAAUGUGAAUUGCAGAAUUCAGUGAAUCAUCGAGUCUUUGAACGCACAUUGCGCCCCCUGGUAUUCCGGGGGGCAUGCCUGUCCGAGCGUCAUUGCUGCCCUCAAGCACGGCUUGUGUGUUGGGCCUCCGUCCUCCUCCCGGGGGACGGGCCCGAAAGGCAGCGGCGGCACCGCGUCCGGUCCUCGAGCGUAUGGGGCUUCGUCACCCGCUCUUGUAGGCCCGGCCGGCGCUUGCCGACACAUCAAUCUUUUUUCCAGGUUGACCUCGGAUCAGGUAGGGAUACCCGCUGAACUUAAGCAUAACAAUAAGCGGAGGA